AUUGAACGCUAGCGGCAUGCCUUACACAUGCAAGUCGAACGGAGUGGCGAACGGGUGAGUAAUGUAUCGGACCGUGCCCAUUAGCGGGGGAUAACUACGCGAAAGCGAAGCUAAUACCGCAUACUCUUGGAGCGGCCGAUGUCGGAUUGGCUAGCUGGUGGGGUAACGGCUCACCAAGGCGACGAUCCGUAGCUGGUUUGAGAGGACGACCAGCCACACUGGGACUGAGACACGGCCCAGACUCCUACGGUAGGCAGCAGUGGGGAAUAUUGGACAAUGGGCGAAAGCCUGAUGCAGCCAUGCCGCGUGUGCGAUGAAGGCCUUCGGGUUGUAAAGCACUUUUGGCAGGGAAGCGGUACCUGCAGAAUAAGCACCGGCUAACUACGUGCCAGCCGCCGCGGUAAUAC
rnacentral:rRNA from 1 species